rnacentral:lncRNA from 1 species
GUAACGUCUAGGUGUUUUUGUUAUUUUUAAAGAGUUCUCAUAUUCUUGUCUAUCUUCUGGGGAUAACUUUGCAAGUUUUUCCGGCUUCAUUGAAAUAUAUUUUGGUCGGUCGCUCAAUAUAAAACGUUCAUAAUCCUCUCUUGCUUCCGGAGUCAUUCGCGCUAGGUCACGUUCGGUCCAAUCUGCUGGGUCGACCCAAUUGUGAAAAAAGUUGCGCUUGAGUUUUGGCCGUUCCUCUUCUGUUGGUGGUGGUGUAAGGAAAUUAGGUUUAGGAGUAGCAGGCACUGGUGGUGCUAUCUCAACAAAUUCAUUGGGUUGUGGUAUUUCUGCAGGCACUAGUGGAGUUGUCUGAACAGGAGCUUGAGCUGGGACAUCCAUCUUAUUUUUGAAUGUGAGAAACCGAUUUAGUUGAUCAGAGUAUAAUUUGCUUUUUUCCACUGCGCUAAGCUGUGGUGCAUCCAUGAUUUCUUUCAUUCGCUGCUCGGCAUCAUACAUGGCAUUUAGAAGUGGUGGUUGCCGAUACGACUGUUUUUGUAUAAACUUUUCAAUCUCACCGGGAAGUAUGUUGGUCUUGAGUCGUUGUUGAUCAUCUGUUGUUGGCUUUAAAUCCAACAUCAAAUACCCGUGAGGUCGGCUCGUAGCAUCUUCAUAACUCCUCAUAAAUUCUUGUACUUUUCCGGGAUUUAUUUGCCUUGCAAGCAUAGAAAUUUGUUGUUUAUCUCUUGGUGUCGAACAACACGAUAUAAUGGGCGUUUAGGCUGAUAUUUCUCAUUUCUUUGCCUUGAUGAAAUAUAUUUUGAACAAUAUAGAUGAUAGAUAAAUUCCGAUGAUGACUUCCUUUCGUAAAAAGAUCAGAAAUACGUUUAUCUUUGCCAGAUUGAGCCAUAAGGUCGUCCAAUACGAUCAAAUUCCGUUGCGAUACGUCCAAGUAAUCUGCGUUGUCGAUGUCUUCGGGGAUGCUUUGAUUAAACUCGAUUCCAGGCAUCGUUCUCAUCAUAUCAAAAUAGGAGGGUUGCCAUUGACCAUAACACCAAAUGAUACGUUGAGGAGCAGGACUUAUAGUUUUCUGUGCAUUCUCCAAGAGAGAUUUUACCCACACGGUUUUGCCGCUUUGGGUACACCCAGCUACGAUACAUGUGAAAGGAUGCUGCAAAACUGUAGAUCCUGCUGAGAUUUCAACUGGUUUGCUUUGAACAUCUCCAUGGGUAUUCAAAGUAUGACGCUUGAGGUUGCCGCGUGUUGAAAAUACUUUGGCACAUAUAUUGCACGGAAAGGACAUGUUCACACCACGAACGUCUAGCUGGAAGUGAUAAUAAGUUGGCGUAUUCGUUCUAUAUAUUCAUUAAUGCAUCUAUCCAGUAUUAUUCUGUAUCUUUAUCUUCCUUAUCUUUAUCUUCCUUAUCUUUAUCCUUAUCUUUAUAUUCUUUAUCUUUAUCUUCUUUAUCUUUAUCCUUAUCUUUAUCCUUAUCUUUAUCCUUAUCCUUAUCCCUAUCUUUAUCUUCCUUAUCUUUAUCUUCCUUAUCUUUAUCUUCUUUAUCCUUAUCUUUAUCUUCCUUAUCUUUAUCUUCUUUAUCCUUAUCUUUAUCUUCCUUAUCUUUUUCUUCUUUAUCUUUAUUCUUAUCAUUAUCUUCCUUAUCCUUAUCUUUAUCUUUAUCCUCUUAUCUUUAUCUUCCUUAUCUUUAUUCUUAUCAUUAUCUUCCUUAUCCUUAUCUUUAUCUUUAUCCUCUUAUCUUUAUCUUCCUUAUCUUAAUCUUUAUCUUAAUCUUUAUCUUUAUCCAUAUCUUUAUCUUCCUUAUCUUUAUCCUUAUCCUUAUCUUUAUCCUUAUCUUUAUCUUCCUUAUCUUUAUCCUUAUCUUUAUCUUCCUUAUCU